rnacentral:snoRNA from 1 species
UCUUCUGAUGAUCAACUUUGUGCUUCGGCACGCUGGAAAUUACCGUCUGAAUAAUAUUGACGAUACAAAAUUGGCUGUUUUCUGAUU